CUGAUGAUUGAUGAACAAAGGCACUGAAGCGUGAAAUAGCUGUGUGUGUGUGUGCACAUGUGUUUACUAAUAACUAAAAUGUAAAAUAGGAAGUGGUGGAGGGCAGUGACAUAGGAAGAGGGUUCAUAAAUCAAGUUAAGGGGUUAGACUUCAUCCUUAGAUCAUGGGAUACCACUGAAGGGAUUUGAGCAAGUAUGUUAUAUCUUCAGGUUUGCAUUUUUUGAUAGGUUACUUGGGUGCAGCCAAUACUGAAGGCUGGGGAAACUGUCAAGGCUACAAAUUAUAAGGGCUGAUGCCUAAGCUCCUUUCUAGGCGUCUGCAGCACAGCAAUGCUCUCUCUACCAUUAAUGAUGACCGCUGAUGAACCUGUAUUUGACCAGCAUACUCCAAUCUUUAUCGGAAAUGUCUGGACCAACCGUCCUUACUAAAUCUAAAGACAGCCAUUUGUCAUCCUUCUGACUGCCUGUCAUCAUCUGCCUGGGAAAAUCUAUAAUUUUUGGCUUGUUCCUGACUCAACUGUGCAAUGAAUAAAUUUAUCUUUGGGUCACUCUGCUUGUCAGGAUCAAUAUUGAGCAGAGGUU
rnacentral:lncRNA from 1 species